UGAGCCAUGCCAGCCGAGCCAAAGACCUUUUUAAUAGCUAGAACCGCCUGUGUGGUUGUGUUGUUCAGGUUAACCCAGAUCUUUGUCCUGCCAACCCUUCAGGUCCAGUGCACGUGCCAACAUUACUCUGUCUGGGAAGAAGCGCAGAAAACUCCUCCAGCAGAUCCGGCUUGCCCAGAAAGAGAAAGCAGCCAUGGAAGUGGAAGCCCCUGCAAAGCCAGCCAGGACUAGUGGCCCACAGCCUAAAUCAAAAAAGAAGACGAAGCCCCCCCAGGACGUAGACAUGGAGGACCUUGAAGAUGGGAGCUAAGUCUUACCCCUUUCAUCACAAGGUUCUCACCUGGAGCCAGGCGGACUCAGGGCUUGUUCCAGAAGACUUUGGAGAAGACAUUGCACCUUUUCACUCUCCCCAGACUCCUCUUCCAUAAUGGCCUAGUGGCCUGCCUGGAGGGACGUGUUGAGAGGAAGAGUGGAAAAGGAGGACUGGAGAGGCGGCUCCUUAGCAGGCAACUCCAUUUGCAAUAAAGCCCAUAGUUCUCACUGAGAUGUUUGUGCUUGAGUGCAGGGCUGGGGAGGGGCCGUGAGAAGGGCUCUGUGAGUGGGGAAAAGGCAGCUGUGACACGGGACCCACAGGGUGUGCUCGAGCAAAGGCAUCAAGGAGCCAGCCUCCGUGACAGCCUGUGAGUGUCACUCCAACUUUCCACUUCCGACCAAAGUAUAGCUUGCUGUAGAGAUGGCCGAGGAGGUAAGGGUCCUGAUACCAGCCCUGCCACUGCUCUCUGUUACCGGGUGGGCAAAUCGCUUUGUCUUGUUUGUCGCUGCUUCCUUUGCUGGAUUAUAUUUUUAAUAAAGUGAAGACCAGA